rnacentral:lncRNA from 10 species
AGGCAAGCAACGAAGACCAGAUGAAAUGCUGCUUGAAGGGCUGGCAUAUCUAGAAUUGGUGGUAGAAAUGGACCAUGAAGACUAAGUAACUGAGAAGAUUUAAUGCAGGGUGCAUAUGGAUUGAGUUCAGGGUGCGCUCUUUGCUUGAAAGUUUGCUCAAGAAACACCAUGCAUAUUUGACAUCAUAAGGAAAGAAAUGGGCAGAACCAUACAUCCAACUUACAUUGCAAUUACUGCAGAGGAAGAGAGAUGGAGAAGUUAAAAUGAAACAUUUCAAGGAUGAAUGGGCACUGAAAAUUGGUAAAGUGGCAGAAAAGUCCAAGCUUGAAGAAUGAAAAAGUAAAUGUAUGGAGAAAAAGGAGUUUGGAAAACAGGAAAAAAAAAGAUAUUUUGCAGAAACAUCUGUUUGCUGUUGCUAAAAAUUUUAGCAUUUAAAUGUUCUCAUUUGGGCUCUGAAGUUAGCACUUCCUUGAAGUAGUUCACACCUUUGCUAUUGCUCCUGUUCAGCUACAGAUCAUUUUAUGCAAGGCUGAUUUUAACAAGAAAAUGGUGCAUUAAUUUAC